GAUGAACGCUGGCGGCGUGCCUAAUACAUGCAAGUAGAACGCUGAAGGAAGGAGCUUGCUCUUUCCGGAUGAGUUGCGAACGGGUGAGUAACGCGUAGGUAACCUGCCUGGUAGCGGGGGAUAACUAUUGGAAACGAUAGCUAAUACCGCAUAACAGUAGAUGUUGCAUGAUAUCUACUUAAAAGGUGCAAUUGCACCACUACCAGAUGGACCUGCGUUGUAUUAGCUAGUUGGUGAGGUAACGGCGCACCAAGGCGACGAUACAUAGCUGACCUGAGAGGGUGAUCGGCCACACUGGGACUGUGACACGGCCCAGACUCCUACGGGAGGCAGCAGUAGUGAAUCUGGGGCAAUGGGCGGAAGACUGACCGCGCAACGCCGCAUGAGUGAAGAAGGUUUUCGGAUCGGAAAGCUCUGUUUUCAGGGAAGAACGAGUGUGAGAGUGGAAAGUUCACACUGUGACGGUAUCUUACCAGAAAGGGACGGCUAACUACGUG
rnacentral:rRNA from 1 species